GGGCUCAUAGCUCAGUUGGUAGAGCGCUCCGUUUGCAACGGAGAGGCCACGGGUUCGAAUCCCGUUGAGUCCA
rnacentral:tRNA from 1 species